UAGAUCAUACUUCACAGGAUCAUUUCUGUAGUAUAUCUUACUUUCCCUCUUACCUAAAUAAGAGCGGUAACAACCACGAUGAGGAGGCACAGCUUCCUUCCCUGAGCGUGAGGAAGACCCGAGAAGUUGACUUUCUUUCAAGUUCUCAGUCACCGAUGAUCGUUCACCCCUUGUAUUAAGUACGAGGGGAUCGGGAAGUGGAGCUUUCUGAGUGGC
rnacentral:snoRNA from 1 species